AUUGAACGCUGGCGGCAGGCCUAACACAUGCAAGUCGAGCGGAGCGCGAGACGGGUGCGUAAUACCUAGGAAUGUGACUGGGCGUGGGGGAUGACGUUCGGAAACGGAAGCUAAUACAACAUCCUCUCAGCUGAGACUAGGUCGGAUUAGCUUGAUGGUGUGGUAAAGGCCUACCCAGGCGACGAUCCGUAUCUGGUCUGAGAGGAUGAUCAGUCAAACUGGAACUGAGACACGGUCCAGACUCCUACGGGAGGCAGCAGUGGGGAAUAUUGGACAAUGGGCGAAAGCCUGAUGCAGCCAUGCCGCGUGUGUGAAGAAGGCCUUCGGGUUGUAAAGUACUUUAAGUUGGGAGGCGUUACCAACAGAAGAAGCACCGGCUAACUCCGUGCCAGCAGCCGCGGUAAUAC
rnacentral:rRNA from 1 species